UCCGUUAUGGUCUAGGUAAGCUCAACCAAUCUCCCACAAACCAGCUUCGACUAACAACAGAAAGUGGCUAGGAUACAUCGCUCUCACUAGCAAGCGCCGAUGUGGCCGGGGUUCGAUUCCCCGUGACGGAA